rnacentral:rRNA from 1 species
GCACUGAAUGGACUAGGGGGCGCAUUGCUUACUGAAUCCAAUCAAACUCCGAAUACCAUAAUUCAAGAGCUCAGGAGUGAGACUAUGGGAAUUAACUUCCAUUGUCAAAAGGGAAACAACCCAGACCACCAGCUAAGGUCCCUAAUCAUAACUAAGUGGGAAAGGAGGUGGAGAUUCAUAAACAACCAGGAGGUUGGCUUAGAAGCAGCCAUACAUUUAAAGAGUGCGUAAUAGCUCACUGGUCGAGAGUCUCUGCGCCGACAAUGUAACGGGGCUAAGUUAUGAACCGAAGCUGUGGAAUUGCGCAAGCAAUUGGUAGGAGAGCGUUCUGUAGGCCGUUGAAGGAGAAGCGUAAGCAACUCUGGAGGUAUCAGAAGUGAGAAUGCAGGAAUAAGUAGCGAGAAGGGAGGCGAGAAUCCUCCCCGCCGGAAGACCAAGGUUUUCAGGGUAAAGCUUGUCUUCCCUGAGUAAGCCGGGACCUAAGCCGAGGCUAUAGUGCGUAGGCGAAUGGAAAACAGAUUAAUAUUUCUGUGCCAGUCAUAUUUUGUGAUGGAGGGACGCAGAAGGGUAUGUACGCGGAAGAACGGUAGUUUCCGUAAAAGCAUGUAGAAUGACUUGAUAGGUAAAUCCGUCAAGUUAGAUUUGAGGUGUGAUAUAUAGUCGUAAGAUGAAUGUACAAAUCCCACGCUGCCGAGAAAAGCUUCUAACGUUAAGGUAUGACUGCCCGUACCCGAAACCGACACAGGUGGUCAGGAUGAGAAAUCUAAGGCGGACAGGCUAACUCUCGUUAAGGAACUCUGCAAAAUAACCUCGUAACUUCGGGAGAAGAGGAGCCCUUGAGUGUCAGUAUCUACGCGAUACAAAGCACUAGAGGGUCGCAGUGAAGAGGCUCAAGCAACUGUUUAACAAAAACACAGGUCUAUGCUAAGCUGUAAGGCGAUGUAUAUGGGCUGACACCUGCCCAGUGCCGGAAGGUUAAGAGGAGGAGUGAGAGCUCCGAAUUGAAGCCCCGGUGAACGGCGGCCGUAACUAUAACGGUCCUAAGGUAGCGAAAUUCCUUGUCGGGUAAGUUCCGACCUGCACGAAUGGUGUAAUGAUUUGAGCGCUGUCUUGACGGGAGGCCUGGUGAAAUUGUAUUACCGGUGAAGAUACCGGUUACCUACAGUAGGACGGAAAGACCCCAUGGAGCUUUACUGUAGCUUGGUAUUGGGUUUUGGCAUUGCAUGUAUAGGAUAGUUGGGAAACUAUGAUGGUAUGGCGCUAGCUAUAUCGGAGUUGUCGGUGGAAUACCAACCAUUCAAUGUUGAAAUUCUAAUCUGUGGUUUGGAGCCACGGAGACAGUGCUAGGUGGGCAGUUUGACUGGGGCGGUCGCCUCCGAAAGAGUAACGGAGGCGUUCAAAGGUUCUCUCAGGUUGGAUGGAAAUCAACCGCAGAGUGCAAUGGCAUAAGAGAGCUUGACUGCGAGACUGACGGGUCGAGCAGGUGCGAAAGCAGGACAUAGUGAUCCGGCGAUUCCGAAUGGAAGGAUCGUCGCUCAACGGAUAAAAGCUACCCUGGGGAUAACAGGCUGAUCCUACCCGAGAGUCCAUAUCGACGGUAGGGUUUGGCACCUCGAUGUCGGCUCAUCGCAUCCUGGGGCUGGAGAAGGUCCCAAGGGUUGGGCUGUUCGCCCAUUAAAGCGGUACGCGAGCUGGGUUCAG